GGGGGGGGCAAGCGUUGUUCGGAAUUACUGGGCGUAAAGGGCUCGUAGGUGGCCAACUAAGUCAGACGUGAAAUCCCUCGGCUUAACCGGGGAACUGCGUCUGAUACUGGAUGGCUUGAGUUUGGGAGAGGGACGCGGAAUUCCAGGUGUAGCGGUGAAAUGCGUAGAUAUCUGGAGGAACACCGGUGGCGAAGGCGGCGUCCUGGACCAAUACUGACACUGAGGAGCGAAAGCCAGGGGAGCAAACGGGAUUAGAUACCCCGGUAGUCCUGGCCCUAAACGAUGAAUGCUUGGUGUGGCGGGUAUCGAUCCCUGCCGUGCCGAAGCUAACGCAUUAAGCAUUCCGCCUGGGGAGUACGGUCGCAAGGCUGAA
rnacentral:rRNA from 1 species